rnacentral:rRNA from 1 species
AACGAACGCUGGCGGCAUGCCUAACACAUGCAAGUCGAACGAGACCUUCGGGUCUAGUGGCGCACGGGUGCGUAACGCGUGGGAACCUGCCCUUAGGUUCGGAAUAACUCCCCGAAAGGGGUGCUAAUACCGGACAAUGUCUUCGGACCAAAGAUUUAUCGCCUUUGGAUGGGCCCGCGUUGGAUUAGCUAGUUGGUAGGGUAUAAGCCUACCAAGGCGACGAUCCAUAGCUGGUCUGAGAGGAUGAUCAGCCACACUGGGACUGAGACACGGCCCAGACUCCUACGGGAGGCAGCAGUGGGGAAUAUUGGACAAUGGGCGAAAGCCUGAUCCAGCAAUGCCGCGUGAGUGAUGAAGGCCUUAGGGUUGUAAAGCUCUUUUACCCGGGAUGAUAAUGACAGUACCGGGAGAAUAAGCUCCGGCUAACUCCGUG